AACCUUAUGGACCUGCGGGCGUAUACCUGCGGAAGGAUCAUUAUCAAAACAGCGGCCUUCGGGCCUUGCUGCACCCUUGUCUUUUGCGCACCGUAUUGUUUCCUCGGCGGGCUUGCCUGCCGGUUGGACAUUAUCAAACCUUUUUGUAGUUGCAAUCAGCGUCAGAAAAACAAUAAUUAUUACAACUUUCAACAAUGGAUCU
rnacentral:misc_RNA from 1 species